rnacentral:tRNA from 1 species
CAGGGAGACAACACAAUGAUUUUGAUGCCUGAGUGCUUUUAUUCUUAGGCCGAAAUCCUGUCACCUUAGGUCGAUCGGUACCUCAGCUUUGAAGUCAAGGGUCAGCAGCAAUGUUGAUUGCUUGAUGGAGAUUUUCAGUUCCUAAACUUUGUCUAGGUCACACCCCAAGAGGGAUGAGACUCCUGGGCCAUUAGCUCAGGUGGUUAGAGCGCACCCCUGAUAAGGGUGAGGUCCCUGGUUCAAGUCCAGGAUGGCCCAUUCGGUGUUGGGGGUUUAGCUCAGUUGGUAGAGCGCCUGCUUUGCAAGCAGGAUGUCAGGAGUUCGAGUCUCCUAACCUCCACUGACCGAACUUGAUUCCCAUCUCCAAUUUUUUUGGAGUUGAGCUCGAUUGGAGUGUGAUUUGGAUGUGUCCGCUGGAUGACCCCAGCUUCCUGUCAUUCCAAGUUUUAGAUUUUAAGUCUUGAAUUUGGUUGAUAAGAUGCUGGGCCCGGAUCAAAUGAUCAAGCAAUUGAUGAUUUGAUUUGAAGUUCUAGCAGAACCUUGACAACUGCAUAGGUGAGUCUGGAAAAAACAAAGCAUCUUACAGAUGCAUUGUUUUGAAUCUGAUCUUCUGAAAGGGAGAUUGGAUCUAGAACAAUGAAAAUUCUUUUGAGCAAGAGCCGAGACUCUUGAGCGUUCUUUGGUUGGUGUCGAGCCAAUCAGAGUUUGAUCUUGUUUUUAGCAAUAAAAACUUGAGAAUCUGCUUUCAACGGCGGUAAGCGUUCAGGAGGUUAAUU